AGCCGCAAACGUGCUAAGGUAGCAUAAUAAUUUGUCUUCUAAUUAAAGACUAGAACAAAAGAUUUAACAUUUUAAUUUACUUCUUCAAUUCUCAAACCAAAAUUCUCUUAAAUGUAAAAAGACAUUUAUAUUAAAGAUAGACGACAAGACCCUAUUGAACUUAACUUUAAGUUAAACUGGGGCAGUAAUUUAAUUAUUAUUUUAACUAUAAAUAAUAUAACCUAAAUUUUUUAUAAAAAAAUCUAACAAGUUACCAUAGGGAUAACAGUAUAAUAAUAUUUUAAAGCACUUAUAUCAAAAAUAGUUUAUAACCUCGAUGUUGAAUUAAUAACCUAAUAUAAGCAAAGUUAUAUAAAAGGAAGUCUGUUCGACUUUUAAAAAAUUACAUGAUUUGAGUUCAAACCGGUGUAAGCCAGGUUGGUUUCCAUCUUCUAAAUAAUUAUUUGUAGUACGAAAGGACCUAAAUAUAUUUAUUAAUAUUAAAAUUAGCAAAAAAAUGCAUUAGAAUUAGAAUCUAAAUAUACUUAU
rnacentral:rRNA from 1 species